UUUGAUGUCAGAUGAAAUUUCACUGAGCGGCCCAGCACAAUCUGAUGCAGGCUGGCUUCCUCUGGCAGCCCCAUCGCCGCGUAGCGUUCCACCCACAGGACAUGAAAAAUGCAUCCGCGCUACCGAGAAGGGCGCGUGUUUGUGAGUCUGUGCACUUGUCGGCGUGUUUAAAAGAAGAAGUUGAAGAGUCGAAAAGGCUUCGGCUGUUCAAAUACCGGGGAGCAAAUAGUUUGGUCAAGUAGACAGGAGGCGUCGCGCGCGGCGAAUGAACUGACGCCAUGGAAACGAUAAGCCUGUGUUCAGACACACGCUCGUGUGUUGAUUAUUUAUUCAGGAUAAUUGGAAAACUGCUUGGAAACGACGGACACGUGGUGGUGCGCGAGAAGCUGCUAGAUGCAGCACGCCAGACACAAAGGUUAACAAGAGCAACGGGUGGCGAGGGGCUGAUGGAGAUUCAAGCAAGGAAGCAGCUUUGUUCUCACAGCGGAGUAAAAGGACAAAAGGUGCAGCGAGGACACGUCCCGCGACUGGUCUGGAGAUGACGACCCAUUGUCACAUCAAGGAGUGAAGUUCUCAUGCUGUGGUGGGAGCCAUUAGGCCCCGUUUCAGUCCAUCUCUCCCACUUUGAUUUCGCUCGAAAGACAAAGGAACAUGAGGAAAUCAAGCAACAACAGGAAACUGUCAUCGGGCGCGGGCGACUAACGACUUCAUGGGAAUCAGAUAUCGUCGUCAGUUGAAUAAAUCCUGCAGAGGAGCUGCAGCCCGUUACUGAGAGAAAUGGAACAUGCUCUGAUGCGUGAUGUGUGGAUGCUUUUCCACCAUGUGGAGCACCUGAUAACCCAAACUGCUGUUCCUGCCCCCCCGCCCCUCCUCUUCUGUGGUGCCCACUGUGACCUUGUUUCCCGAUGAGACGGUUCCCUUCCUCCCUCCGCUUCUUAUCGCUAAGAGGACAUUGAUGGAUGGCGGCGAGUAGCUGCUGUGCUGUCCAGGGCGCGAGGUCAGAGCAGCGGUCCCCUCAAACGGUGACGUAAUGCUAAUUCCAGGUCAUUAGCGAGACCCGCGGACUCUUAAAAAGGAGGAUUUCCAAAUAAAUGACGUGUUUAGACGAGUUAAGCAUUAAUUCAUUAGCCUUUCUUCGUAUGUGCAUGUGAGCCAGGGCUUACGGAGAUUAAAGAGGGCCCUGCAACAUGUGUACAAAUAUCAGCUAAUUCACAUUAUGCAGCUUUUUGCCCACAGGUUAUGAAGGAUUAGGAUGAUUUCACAUUCCGUCGAGGCUCAGAGAAUCACAGCGCCUCAGUCGCCGACUAUUUUGGGAUGCUGAUAAUAGUUCUUGUCAGCCAUAAUUUUUAAGUACUUUAACCAAUUCAUUGUAUAAUUAGGUUAACAAAAUUAGCUCAUUGCAAAGUCAGUCAGAAGGCGGUAAUGCAAUAAAGUUAUUAACAUUCCAGAUUUAUAGAACCAUUAAUAUAGAGGCAAUCUGUCUCUUUCAUACGUUGCUUCGCUGGUAAAAAUGGCAUAAAUUAAUAAAGGGAAA